CGGCAGAAGCUGGCACAGCUCUCAGAUGACAGCCAGCAAGGAAAUGGGGACCUUAGUCCUGCAACUGCAAGGAACUAAAUUCUUCCAACAACCUGAAUAAGCAAGGAAACCGAGUCUCCCCCAGAGCCUCCAGGAAGAAAUGCAGCCCUGCCGACACCUUGAUUUAGCCUGAUGAAACCCUCGUUGGAUUUCUGCCCUACAGAACUGCUUCCACGGUAGCCAAAGAAGAUGUGAAACUGGCCUCUUGAACUAGAACUCUGCAUGGAGAGGCGUGCUGGUCUUAAUACCACAGUUCGGGGAUAUUAUCCUUUAAGCAGAUUUUUGUGAGAUGCCAUAAGGACCUGUCAGACUUUCCAUGUCAUGGGAUCCUGAGUUCUUGGAAGUUUAUUCAUCAGUUGCGUCAGAGACAGCUGGGGAUAGCAGAGUUGUUCAAAAGUGAUGAGUUGGGACAACAGAAACAACCCAAGGAACACAAUGAAAGUUAGUAUCUGGCCAUUCUCUCUGCCUCAGUGUGACAGAAAACUCUUAGCAGAGAAUUAGAGAAGGGGAGUCAGCAUUCCAUGUCUAUUGAAGAUUAGAUACUCAACCUCUGUAAACUCAGAUCAAUGAAAUCUUAAUUUAGCAAAAUCGUUCAACAUUGAGAUUGUCCAAAGCUAAUUUACAGUCAGUGGGUCCUGGGUCACUGUUUUAAAUCUUAGCUUCAAAAUGUGUCCAAUUUAAGACUGAUUUGGAGGCACCUAAGCAAUCAGAGAUAUAAUGACAUAGAAAUGUAUGGUUUGAGGAUGAAUAUCAUAACUGAUUGUCUAGAAACUGAUAAUUCAUUUGUCAUAAUACCGAAGUGCAUGUGUGAUGGCAGGAAGCAAGAAUGUCUGAUGGGCAUCGAGACUCUCAGGAACUCUGCUUCGGUCUCACCUCUCAGGGUUAUCUGUGUGACCUCUCUGGUUUCUGUCAAGUAAAGAGGUGUAUCAGUGUUUCCCAGGUUUUUGUUUUUUUUUUUAAUUCAAGCACUUUUCAGUUAAAAAUAUAAUCUACCAAAGUUCCUUAGAAAUUAAAAAUAUAUAUGUUAUUUGUGGCCUAUCGGAUAAAUGAUUUGAAAGGCAUGUAAAAUUUUCAGAUCGGGUCUUUAAGAUUACUGUAUAAAUUCCUAUUCCUUUCCUAGGUAUUGUUUUUAUAUAAAUUGUGGAUUAAUCACUGUAUAUUUAAAUACAUCUUUUGACUUAGAAAAUGCUUAAUUUUCUUGAAUUUUCAUGAAUUUUAUUGUAUGGGAAAAGGCAUAACCUAUUGACAACCAACAAAAAAAUUGUAAUGUUUUAUUUGGAAGUGAAUGAACAUUAAAACAUAGCAUAAAAGUCAA